GUUAAAGACAUUUCCAUUGUUUAUUAAUGAUUCAUAUACUAUAUAGAAUUUCAGUGGAAGUACCUCUCUUUCAUACAUUUUUUCCUUGCAUUUCAUUCAAUACUAUUUAUGAAAUUAUCCUUUUUUUAUAGCAUACAUCUAAAACCAAAGGAACAUUAAAUUAAGCUCUCACAAUGUGUUUGUUACUGAGACAGUAAUAUCAGAGUACAAAACUACACAUAUAGAGGUCACCAUGCACAUAUAGAGGUCACCAUGUAAUCUUCAUUAAACAACAAGUGUCAAUACCUCAAGUCAAACUGUUAAUUGCCAAAUUCACAUAAUUUAAGAGCACCAAUAAAAAAAAAGAUCAUCAUCCUCAAUUUUUGUAGCACAAAAAAUGGCAACAAUUAUAAUGUCUGAACACUGUUCUUCUGUGUGACUACAAAU
rnacentral:lncRNA from 1 species